CAAGGUGAGCGGCAGACGGGUGAGUAACGCGUGGGGAUAUGCCCAAAGGUGCGGAAUAACUGUGGGAAACUACAGCUAAUACCGCAUGUGCCCUUCGGGGGAAAGAUUUAUCGCCUUUGGAUUAACCCGCGUCAGAUUAGCUAGUUGGUAGGGUAAUGGCCUACCAAGGCGACGAUCUGUAGCUGGUCUGAGAGGAUGAUCAGCCACACUGGGACUGAGACACGGCCCAGACUCCUACGGGAGGCAGCAGUGGGGAAUAUUGGACAAUGGGCGCAAGCCUGAUCCAGCCAUGCCGCGUGAGUGAUGACGGCCUUAGGGUUGUAAAGCUCUUUUAACGGGGACGAUAAUGACGGUACCCGUAGAAUAAGCCCCGGCUAACUUCGUGCCAGCAGCCGCGGUAAUACGAAGGGGGCUAGCGUUGUUCGGAAUCACUGGGCGUAAAGCGCACGUAGGCGGAUUGUUAAGUCGGGGGUGAAAUCCUGAGGCUCAACCUCAGAACUGCCUUCGAUACUGGCGAUCUUGAGUUCGGAAGAGGUUGGUGGAACAGCUAGUGUAGAGGUGAAAUUCGUAGAUAUUAGCUAGAACACCAGUGGCGAAGGCGGCCAACUGGUCCGAUACUGACGCUGA
rnacentral:rRNA from 1 species